GAUGAACGCUGGCGGCGUGCCUAAUACAUGCAAGUCGAGCGAACAGACGAGGAGCUUGCUCCUCUGACGUUAGCGGCGGACGGGUGAGUAACACGUGGAUAACCUACCUAUAAGACUGGGAUAACUUCGGGAAACCGGAGCUAAUACCGGAUAAUAUAUUGAACCGCAUGGUUCAAUAGUGAAAGACGGUUUUGCUGUCACUUAUAGAUGGAUCCGCGCCGCAUUAGCUAGUUGGUAAGGUAACGGCUUACCAAGGCAACGAUGCGUAGCCGACCUGAGAGGGGGAGGGGCCAAAUGGGAAUGGAAAAAGGGUCCAAAAUCCUAGGGGGGGAAGCAGGAGGAAAUCUUCCGAAAGGGGGGAAAGCCGACGGGAGAACGGCGGGGGGAGGAAUAAAGGUUUUCGGAUGGUAAAAAUUUGUUAUGGGGGAAAAAAAAAGGUGAAAGAAAAAAUGGAGUUUUUAAGGGUACAUAAAAAAAAAGCCAGGGCAAAUCACGG
rnacentral:rRNA from 1 species